AAAAAAAUAUAAAUAACUUGUUUUCGAUCAAUUUUCAUGGUUAGUGGGUCUCCGGGACCUCACGGUGUCCGUUCACCAACGAACAAUUGUUUCCUUAGUCGUCAACGAACGAUCGUACUCGCCGAUAAUCUAAAUUAUUUUCUGCUUUCACGUUCUUCUUCGAAUGUCUCCAGUAUCAUCUUCAUAUCCGAGAACAAGAAAAGGCCGAGUUUCUCACCUCAGAAUUUAUCGCAUGGUGAACCGAUAUCUGUGAAACGGACUUGAAUUCAGAUUAUUUGGAUACUCAUUUUCUCCAGGUAUUUAAAAAAAUGUCGGGCUCUAUGUUAUAUGUAAAAGCUCU
rnacentral:lncRNA from 1 species